GAGUUUGAUCAUGGCUCAGAUUGAACGCUGGCGGCAGGCCUAACACAUGCAAGUCGAGCGGUAGAGAGAAGCUUGCUUCUCUUGAGAGCGGCGGACGGGUGAGUAAUGCCUAGGAAUCUGCCUGGUAGUGGGGGAUAACGCUCGGAAACGGACGCUAAUACCGCAUACGUCCUACGGGAGAAAGCAGGGGACCUUCGGGCCUUGCGCUAUCAGAUGAGCCUAGGUCGGAUUAGCUAGUUGGUGAGGUAAUGGCUCACCAAGGCGACGAUCCGUAACUGGUCUGAGAGGAUGAUCAGUCACACUGGAACUGAGACACGGUCCAGACUCCUACGGGAGGCAGCAGUGGGGAAUAUUGGACAAUGGGCGAAAGCCUGAUCCAGCCAUGCCGCGUGUGUGAAGAAGGUCUUCGGAUUGUAAAGCACUUUAAGUUGGGAGGAAGGGCAGUAACCUAAUACGUUGCGGUCUUGACGUUACCGACAGAAUAAGCACCGGCUAACUCUGUGCCAGCAGCCGCGGUAAUACAGAGGGUGCAAGCGUUAAUCGGAAUUACUGGGCGUAAAGCGCGCGUAGGUGGUUUGUUAAGUUGGAUGUGAAAUCCCCGGGCUCAACCUGGGAACUGCAUUCAAAACUGACAAGCUAGAGUAUGGUAGAGGGUGGUGGAAUUUCCUGUGUAGCGGUGAAAUGCGUAGAUAUAGGAAGGAACACCAGUGGCGAAGGCGACCACCUGGACUGAUACUGACACUGAGGUGCGAAAGCGUGGGGAGCAAACAGGAUUAGAUACCCUGGUAGUCCACGCCGUAAACGAUGUCAACUAGCCGUUGGGAGCCUUGAGCUCUUAGUGGCGCAGCUAACGCAUU
rnacentral:rRNA from 1 species